rnacentral:misc_RNA from 1 species
UAACACCUCUACUAAAGAAUGUGAGAAAAUGAAGGUUCAGAAAAAGAAGCCAAGAAAUAGUACAUAGAAUCACCAGAUAUUGAGAAAGAAGUGAAAAGACUACUAAGAAUGGACAGCACAGCUAUCAGAAUCCGAUGGGAAGUGUUGCCUGAUAAAGAUGGCAAAGAAGACACAAAAAGUGAAUUACAAAUACAGUAGAUAGCAACGACUGGAAACAGAUCUUUGAAGAGGUUAGUAGCUCAGAGAAUGAGGAAGGGGAAGAAGACGUCAACAUCAUGGAGGUCGGGGAUUCCCAGCAAGGCAUGGAGGAGUUCAAAGUACAAAAUGUCACUGAUGCUCUCAAAGGAUUAGAAGCGGCUGUAGAUCAAGAUAACACAAUCACAGAAGACAGCAUGCAGCAUGAGA